rnacentral:rRNA from 1 species
AUGGGUGGUGUUGCCCCAAAAAACAUCAUCACAGACCAGGACUUUGCAAUGAGGAGUGCGAUCGACGAGGUCUUCUUGAACAUAAUACACAGAAAUUGUCGCUGUCAUAUAAUGAAGAAGGCGCUGGAGAAACUUGGAAAACUUAUGGCUGAUGAUAAACCACUAAACAAAGCGUUCAAAGACUGUGUCGACAACAGCUUGACUGGGGCAGUUUCAUUGGACCAACAUCAAAUUAGAAUGGAAACAAUGUGUGGACAUGAAGAGUUUGAAAACAAAUGGUGGGCAAUGAUGGAUGAAUAUGGCCAGAUCGACAACGAACAUUUUCACUGGCUGUGGGAAAAUAGGAAAUGUUGGGCCCCAGUGUACUACAUGAAGUAUUUCUUUCCAUUCUUGCAGACAACUGCAAGGAGCGAGGGAUUCAAUGCUGUGCUGAAGAAGUAUGUGAACCCCAACAACUCAUUGAUUGAAUUCGCAACUCAAUACACUGCAAUCCAGGAGAAAGCGAGCAAGGAUGAAGGGGUAUACUCAUGCACUUGCUGCAAGUUUGAUCGCGAUGGGCUAUUGUGUGCACAUAUACUACGAGUAAUGGAACAGAUUGGAGUCUACGAGAUACUGAGGAGAGACGACAUGGAUGCACUAAAAAAGAGGCAGAUAAAGAAAGCAAGAAAGGAAAAAGAUGAGGGAAAAGAAGCACAAAUGUUUUCUUCACCACCAGGGACUAGUGCCACUGAAGUUCUAGGGCUCACGUGCCGAGGGAUCCCAAUCAUCAAACAAAAGAGUGAUACUAGACCCACCAAAGUCUACUACGAAAGUGCGUCCAAGAGUGAAAAGAUUCCAGCACCCAUUUGA